rnacentral:rRNA from 1 species
GGUGCUUAACACAUGCAAGUCGAACGAUGAAGCCCAGCUUGCUGGGUGGAUUAGUGGCGAACGGGUGAGUAACACGUGAGUAACCUGCCCUUAACUCUGGGAUAAGCCUGGGAAACUGGGUCUAAUACCGUAGGAGCGCCUACCGCAUGGUGGGUGUUGGAAAGAUUUAUCGGUUUUGGAUGGACUCGCGGCCUAUCAGCUUGUUGGUGAGGUAAUGGCUCACCAAGGCGACGACGUAGCCGGCCUGAGAGGGUGACCGGCCACACUGGGACUGAGACACGGCCCAGACUCCUACGGGAGGCAGCAGUGGGGAAUAUUGCACAAUGGGCGCAAGCCUGAUGCAGCGACGCCGCGUGAGGGAUGACGGCCUUCGGGUUGUAAACCUCUUUCAGUAGGGAAGAAGCGAAAGUGACGGUACCUGCAGAAGAAGCACCGGCUAACUACGUGCCAGCAGCCGCGGUAAUACGUAGGGUGCGAGCGUUAUCCGGAAUUAUUGGGCGUAAAGAGCUCGUAGGCGGUUUGUCGCGUCUGUCGUGAAAGUCCGGGGCUUAACCCCGGAUCUGCGGUGGGUACGGGCAGACUAGAGUGCAGUAGGGGAGACUGGAAUUCCUGGUGUAGCGGUGGAAUGCGCAGAUAUCAGGAGGAACACCGAUGGCGAAGGCAGGUCUCUGGGCUGUAACUGACGCUGAGGAGCGAAAGCAUGGGGAGCGAACAGGAUUAGAUACCCUGGUAGUCCAUGCCGUAAACGUUGGGCACUAGGUGUGGGGACCAUUCCACGGUUUCCGCGCCGCAGCUAACGCAUUAAGUGCCCCGCCUGGGGAGUACGGCCGCAAGGCUAAAACUCAAAGGAAUUGACGGGGGCCCGCACAAGCGGCGGAGCAUGCGGAUUAAUUCGAUGCAACGCGAAGAACCUUACCAAGGCUUGACAUGUUCUCGAUCGCCGUAGAGAUACGGUUUCCCCUUUGGGGCGGGUUCACAGGUGGUGCAUGGUUGUCGUCAGCUCGUGUCGUGAGAUGUUGGGUUAAGUCCCGCAACGAGCGCAACCCUCGUUCCAUGUUGCCAGCACGUAAUGGUGGGGACUCAUGGGAGACUGCCGGGGUCAACUCGGAGGAAGGUGAGGACGACGUCAAAUCAUCAUGCCCCUUAUGUCUUGGGCUUCACGCAUGCUACAAUGGCCGGUACAAUGGGU